rnacentral:misc_RNA from 1 species
GAUGAAGAACGCAGCGAAAUGCGAUAAGUAAUGUGAAUUGCAGAAUUCAGUGAAUCAUCGAAUCUUUGAACGCACAUUGCGCCCCUUGGUAUUCCGAGGGGCAUGCCUAUUCGAGCGUCAUUUCAACCCUCAAGCCCCAGCGGCCUGGUGUUGGGGACCGGCGACCUCGCCCGAGCCCGCCCUCCGGGGCGCGUGCCCGGUGCGUCCGCCGCCCCCGAAAUGAAUUGGCGGCCUCGUCGCGGCCUCCUCUGCGUAGUAGCACAACCUCGCAAGCGGGAGCGCGACGCGGCCACUGCCGUAAAACGCCCAACUUUUUUAGAGUUGACCUCGGAUCAGGUAGGAAUACCCGCUGAACUUAAGCAUAUCAAUAAGCGGAGGA